AUUGAACGCUGGCGGCAAGCCUAACACAUGCAAGUCGAACGAGUGGCGGACGGGUGAGUAAUGUCUGGGAAACUGCCUGAUGGAGGGGGAUAACUACUGGAAAAGGUAGCUAAUACCGCAUACCAUCGGAUGUGCCCAGAUGGGCUUCGCUAGUAGGUGGGGUAAAGGCUCACCUAGGCGACGAUCCCUAGCUGGUCUGAGAGGAUGACCAGCCACACUGGAAAUGAGACACGGUCCAGACUCCGACGUGAGGCAGCAGUGGGGAAUAGUGCACAAUGGGCGCAAGACUGAUGCAGCCAGGCCGCGUGUAUGAAGAAGGCCUUCGGGUUGUAAAGUACUUUCAGCGGGGAGGCGUUACCCGCAGAAGAAGCACCGGCGAACUCCGUGCCAGCAGCCGCGGUAAUUC
rnacentral:rRNA from 1 species